AAUGAAAACUGAAAUGUUUAAUCAAAUAGCGGAAAACAAAUAUAUCCCAAAGGAAUUAUUGCAUUCUAAUCUUAUCCCAAUAUUGAAACAAAACAAAGACAGCAAUGAUCCUAGAAAUUAUAGACCAAUUGCGCUAAUUAAUGUUGACAUGAAGUUAUACUCGGCCAUCAUCGCGGAGAGAAUUAAAACUAUUAUACCAAAUUUAAUUCAUUUGGACCAAAUUGGGUUUAUCUCUGGUAGAUGGGCAUCAAACAACACUAGAAGGUUAAUUGAUAUUAUAGAUUUGGCUAAAAGACAUAAGAUGCCCUUCCUGGCCCU